rnacentral:lncRNA from 1 species
UGUAUUUGAGAACAUUUUUAAUAAAUAAUGUGACAAAAUUACUUUUCUGAUUAUUGGAUUUUCAGUAUGCAAAAUUAUGGCUAAAAAUAAGAGGCUUCUUACAUGAACAUAAUGAAAACAUUAAUCACAUGGAUUGUUCCCUUAGUUCUGUGCACCCUUUCUAUGGAAUUCUUUCAAAUUAUCUAAAUGAACACAUUUAAUUUUGGGUGAACACCAGGCUUUUUUGUGGUUCAGUUUUGUUUGGCUUUGUUUUCCAGUGGGGUCAGGCUUAAUACCUGUAUACGAAUAAAUGUACAUUUUUUUCCUCAAAUAGCACCAAUUAUAAAGUCAAUUAAAUUUAUAUAAUGACAAAAAAGAUCAUAAAAAUCUACAGUCAGAAGGCAUCAUUUGGCAAUUCAAUGCAAGUAAUGCCUCUAUUUGAGCUUAUAAGGAUAUCUUGUAGGUUUCAAGAUGGGCCACAACAAACUUAACCCAUUUUCUCUUUAAGUCCAGGAAAAGUAUGAACCAUCUGGUUAUGGCCCACAAUAAAGUAUUCACGUUACUUCACCAUCUGUUAUCAUUCAAAUAUUCCAAAUACAAACAUAGAGCAUUAACAAAACAGGUUAAAAACGCUUCUCAACAGUUUUUCAAUAAGACAAAAAAGGUUAAUAGUUACAAUGGUUUACAAAUAAAGUUUAGUGAUUGUGCUUUUAAAACCAAAAAAAAAAAAAAAAGAUUAAAAACAGUGCAUUACAAAAACAAAAAUCAAACAAACUCCCUUAAGUGGCACUUCUGAAAGUUGAACUGAUAGUACCAGAAGAAAUUUAGGCCAGUUAAAAUAGGGAUGUCCUUACUCAAUUGGUCAUUAAAAAGAUCUAUUUGUUUGAUAUGCAUUUAUAAUUGCUUUUUGAUUGAAAAAUAGAACAAAGUUUUUGCUAGGCUUACCUGUGACAAUGACUAGACAACCAGAGAUCCAACUGGCUUAGCCCUACUUAUCCAAAAGUACAUUUCCAAUAAGAAUAUAUUUCAAUGAUUGAAAUGAAGAUAAAAUAAAGUACCACCAGAGGUUGCAAAGAGUAUAUAUUUACAAUGUUUCUACCCCAUUCAAAUUUUUCGCAGUUCUGCGUUUGCUAUAUUUUUAGAUUCUCCCAGCAAUGGGUGGUAUGAAAAGACUCAUUUUAAAAUCAUGUUAAAAUGAAGUAUGCUUUAAUUUGCAUUAGCAAUUAGUUAUAGAAAGAUUAUACUUUGAGAGCCCUUGGCAUGAGGUUGAUUGAUCAACUUUGUAUAUUUGAUCAAUACUUUGCUAUAAACUGGCUUUGUAUAUAAGCAGUGCAGUGCCAUAUCUCAGGGGCAAAAUGCAAGAGAACUGUCCUGUUCUUUCUUGCUGGCUGAUGACUGAAGCAAGAUGUUGAUACACUUCCUUUGCUGGAAGUGAAAAAGUUCCAAAAGCAAGGGGAAGAGAGAGAUUCCUCCUAGGGUUAAGGAUUAAACAAUAAAAACUUAAUAAAAUUUUUAAAAAUGGUAUCCCAAUAAGAGGAAUAAAAACGACAAUUUGUACAUUCUGAUUGCACGGAACAUCUUAUCUGGCGUCGUGUGUCAUCAGACAUUGAGGCUGCUUGAGUGAUAGUUUUCACAUUAGAUCUCGAGAGCCUCUCUGCUGGUCUUCAGCUCUCAGUUUCC